rnacentral:rRNA from 1 species
UACGUAGGGUGCGAGCGUUGUCCGGAAUUACUGGGCGUAAAGAGCUUGUAGGUGGUUUGUCGCGUUGUUCGUGAAAUCUCACGGCUUAACUGUGAGCGUGCGGGCGAUACGGGCAGACUAGAGUACUGCAGGGGAGACUGGAAUUCCUGGUGUAGCGGUGAAAUGCGCAGAUAUCAGGAGGAACACCGGUGGCGAAGGCGGGUCUCUGGGCCGAUACUGACGCUGAGGAGCGAAAGCGUGGGGAGCAAACAGG